UCUAAUUUUACCCCUGGUGCCCAUAUAUGAAUUUUGGAACCUUUUUUUUAUUUUUUUAUUUUUUUAACUGAAAGUAACAAGAAUGUGAUAUAGAGGGGAAGGAAGGUAAAGCAUCUGGAGGUUGAUGAGGAAACAGUUAAAGCAGAGGCAGGGAAGAGGAGUUAAGGACAGCAUGAGACAUUAUUAAAUUUUACAAAAUGCACUGGUUCCAAUGGGUACUCGGCUCCCUCGGAGGAUUUUUAACAGGAAAGCGGCAGAAACUCACUCUCCCUGUGGGAGAAAAUCCAGUGGACAACAGGAGAGGAGCUCCUUCAGUCAUGCCGAGCCUCAGGCCCGACAGACUCAGCCAAACAUAGAACCUCCUCUACACAGCAUUAUGCAGCUCCACCUCCUCCACCUUGCCCUUGAAGAUGGUAAUGACUGCGGUACGGAGAGCCACAAAACAGCAGGCAACAAAUGAACACACGGCAUCUUCAUCACAUUAAUACAAAUCGAACAAUGAUUCUCUUCUCAGAUGACAUUGUUUUUUUUCUUUUCCUUUUUUAUUCUUUGCCUUACCCUUUGGUACAAAUGAGCACAGCUUAAUUACAACUCUCAUCACAUGCCUCUGUGAUUCAUGCAUGAAUUUGAUUUGUCUUGUUUGUUUUCCAUUUGUGCCCUUUUGACCCAUGAUAUGGAUGUACUACAUGGCAAAGUAAAAUGGAUGUAACGCAGUACAGAGUCUGUAACUGUGUGAAAUAAAUGGAGCUACUGCGUAUUUUUGGAAACUUAGAAAAGGACUGUAAGGAAAAUGAUGAACUAACUUGUAAAGAAAAAAUGUGUAAUAUGCUCAGAUGGGUUUGGCUUGUGUCACAUAUAAUUUCUUCUGCCUUAAAGAUGAAUAAUGUGCAGACGCUUUCUUUGUAAACUCUUUCUUAAACUGCAACACCUUAAAAAAAUGUGGGAAAUUGUAUUUUAGUUGAUGCAAUAACUGUGUUUUCCAAUGUUUUUUUUUAUCAUUAUUAAUAACCACUACUGCACAGAAUUUCUUUGGAUACUUAUCAAUGAUUACUAUUUGCAGCCAUCACUGUAUAAAUACACAAUAAAGACUUACUAUUAAC